GGAAUAUUGGACAAUGGGCGGAAGCCUGAUCCAGCCAUGCCGCGUGCAGGAAGACAGCCCUACGGGUUGUAAACUGCUUUUAUACGGGAAGAAUAAGGGGUACGUGUACCCCGAUGACGGUACCGUAAGCAUAAGGACCGGCUAACUCCGUGCCAGCAGCCGCGGUAAUACGGAGGGUCCAGGCGUUAUCCGGAAUCAUUGGGUUUAACGGGUCCGUAGGCGGCCUUAUAAGUCAGUGGUGAAAUCUCCUAGCUCAACUAGGAAACUGCCAUUGAUACUGUAGGGCUUGAAUUUUUGUGAAGUAACUAGAAUAUGUAGCGUAGCGGUGAAAUGCUUAGAUAUUACAUGGAAUACCAAUUGCGAAGGCAGGUUACUAACAAACGAUUGACGCUGAUGGACGAAAGCGUGGGUAGCGAAC
rnacentral:rRNA from 1 species